AAGAACUCUCCACCUUUUCGAGUUCACAAUUUGCCUCAAACCCUAGAAAUGGUGACUGAAUCGGGUCAUUCAAAGAGACCCAUGUGCCCAUCAUGCUCCAAACCGACCCGCCUCUGUCUCUGCACUCGACUGAAGAUUCCAUGUCUCCAAAACUCCGUGGCUGUCACAAUCCUUCACACCCGCCUCUGUCUGUGCACUCGACUGAAGAUUCCAUGUCUCCAAAACUCCGUGGCUGUCACAAUCCUUCAGCACAGCCUAGAGAAAAAACACCCUCUCAAUUCAACAAGAAUUGCUUCUAUAGGCCUGCAAAAUUUGAGUGUAAUUUCAGUCUCUGAUGUUAAUUAUGAGGCUCAGUUUCUCAUACGUUUUCUCAACUCAAACCUUGAAAUUGGUUCUCAUAUUUUGGAUGAAAAGACUCCACCUUUGACGUUUCUCAUACGUUUGCUCAACUCAAACCUUGAAAUUGGUUCUCAUAUUUUGGAUGAAAAGACUCCACUUUUGAUUAAAGACUCCAACUUUGAUAGUAAUGCUGAUGUUUCUUUUACUAUAGAGAAGUACGGUG
rnacentral:lncRNA from 1 species